rnacentral:tRNA from 1 species
GCGUGCAUAGCUCAACGGUAGAGUAAAGAAGAUACGGGUUCGACUCCCGUUGCACGUA